rfam:Aedes albopictus isolate Foshan contig108579, whole genome shotgun sequence.
UGUUCUGUGGAUUAGUUGCCUAAAGCGUCGGACUAGCAAUACGGAGUCGUGCGUUCGAAUCACACCAAAACAA